rnacentral:rRNA from 1 species
AAGCACCGGCUAACUCCGUGCCAGCAGCCGCGGUAAUACGGAGGGUGCGAGCGUUAAUCGGAAUUACUGGGCGUAAAGCGCACGCAGGCGGUUUGUUAAGCUAGAUGUGAAAGCCCCGAGCUCAACUUGGGAUGGUCAUUUAGAACUGGCAGACUAGAGUCUUGGAGAGGGGAGUGGAAUUCCAAGUGUAGCGGUGAAAUGCGUAGAUAUUAGAAGGAACAUCAGUGGCGAAGGCGACUCCCUGGCCAAAGACUGACGCUCAUGUGCGAAAGUGUGGGUAGCGAACAGGAUUAGAUACCCUGGUAGUCCACACCGUAAACGCUGUCUACUAGCUGUGUGUGUCUUUAAGACGUGCGUAGCGAAGCUAACGCGCUAAGUAGACCGCCUGGGGAGUACGGCCGCAAGGUUAAAACUCAAAUGAAUUGACGGGG